GCCUCCCAGGUGCUGGGAUUAAAGGUAUUCGCCGCCACCACCCGGCCUAAUAAAGAACUUUUGACGAAACACUUGCUCGGGUUUUCCUGGGAAGCAGCUCCCUGACCAUGAGGAGUUUGGAAUGCCCACAGCAACAUGCCCUCAUACCUUCUGGACUCUGCAAAAGCCAGCUUUUCAUCCCAGGGCAGCAAGCCACAGAUCCAGGACGGUCAGAGAAACCCAGAAGAAUAAGUUCUAAACGUCUCCCCCUGAGGCAUGCCCUAUGCCAAGGCAUGUAAUUUACAUAGAGAGUUUUAGGUCAGCAUGGGGCACAGGAAACCAUGGCGAAAAACAAACAAGGUGAAGAAUCGGUGAAACGGAUAGUUUACAAAACUGGAAUGAAAAAGAAGGAGAAUGUGGAUACCCCAAUAUUGGGCAUCGAGUAGAGAACCCCCAAAAGCAUCAGUUCUAUCCCUACAGGCACAUGACUGCACUAGCAACAUCCAAACGGAGUUCUUUGUGUGGCAUCCGGUUCCGCGUGGAAAUCACAAGCCUGUGCACACUCACUGAGAAUUUUAAUUAGCACUGAUAAGACUUCCACAAACACAAGAUACCAUCUCGGAGAGUGGAAUUCCUGACCGUGUAAAUGUGAUAUAAAGUAAACAGCAAUGAUGGCAGAAAGAUGUAUGUAAAUAAAAUGUUAGCCAAAAGAACAGCUGUUGCUUUGAUCCAGCUAAUUCUGUGGUUGUGAUAAAACACUAACCAAAGGCAACUUUAGGGCAAGAGAGGAAGUCAGGGGCUGGAGCUUCAGUGGGAACUAAAGCAGAGACUGUGGAGGGCCCCUGCUCACUUUCUGACCGCUUUCUAAUGGAGCCCAAAUCCGCCUGGUUAGGGAUGGUACCGCCCAUGCUGGGCUGGGCCCUCUUACAUCAAUUAGCAAUCAAGACAACGCGCUCACAGACUUGUCCACAGACCAAUCUGACCAAAGCAAUUGUCCAAUC